AUUGAACGCUGGCGGCAGGCCUAAUACAUGCAAGUCGAACGGUAACAUAAGAGAAGCUUGCUUUCUUGAUGACGAGUGGCGGACGGGUGAGUAAGAUUUGGGAAACUACCUGAUAGAGGGGGACAACAGUUGGAAACGACUGCUAAUACCGCAUACAGCCUCAGGGUGAAAGAAGCGAUUCGCUAUCAGAUGUGCCCAAACGGGAUUAGCUAGUAGGUGAGGUAAAGGCUCACCUAGGCGACGAUCUCUAGCUGGUCUGAGAGGAUGAUCAGCCACAUUGGGACUGAGACACGGCCCAGACUCCUACGGGAGGCAGCAGUAGGGAAUAUUGCACAAUGGAGGAAACUCUGAUGCAGCCAUGCCGCGUGUGUGAAGAAGGCCUUCGGGUUGUAAAGCACUUUCGGAGGGGAGGAAAAAAUGACGUUACCCUCAGAAGAAGCACCGGCUAACUCCGUG
rnacentral:rRNA from 1 species